GGGGAUCCGAGUGGAGCUGCGUGGCGCGGGCCACGAGCACCCCCGAGCGGGCACAGAGCCUAUCCCAUCGCCCUGGCGACGACCCAAGAGACCGCUAAGCCCAGGUUAUCAAUAAGAUGCCUGUUUAUACCAGGCUCUUGGUAUGCUUUAUAACCAUAUCCUGAGAAGUACAUAUUUUGCUAACUUUUGUGUACAGUUGAUGGCAGAGCAGUGACAUGGAAGGCCCUAGGAACAUAUGGCUGACUGCUAGAAGGAAAGCCACCUCACCUUCUCCCAGGAGAUUAUGACAUGGGCUGGGACCAACACGCACCCACCCCCAAACCUUGGGACCAACAUUGUGAUGCAGCAGGCUGCGUCUGUAGCCCUGGCAUCCCACGCA